GGGCCCGCACAAGCGGUGGAGCAUGUGGUUUAAUUCGAUGAUACGCGAGGAACCUUACCAGGGCUUAAAUGUAACGGGACAGAUCUAGAGAUAGAUCCUUCUUCGGACUCAUUACAAGGUGCUGCAUGGUUGUCGUCAGCUCGUGCCGUGAGGUGUCAGGUUAAGUCCUAUAACGAGCGCAACCCCCCAUCGUUAGUUGCCAACGAGUAAUGUCGGGAACUCUAACGAAACUGCCGGUGCAAACCGUGAGGAAGGUGGGGAUGACGUCAAAUCAUCACGGCCCUUACGUCCUGGGCUACACACGUGCUACAAUGGCCGGUACAGAGAGCAGCCACUACGCGAAUAGGAGCUAAUCUUUAAAGCCGGUCUC
rnacentral:rRNA from 1 species